CUGCCCGCCUCCGUUUGAGUAGAGCGCGGCACCGGCGUGCUCGGCUUGCACCUGUGUCUCGGCUGUAACUACAGUGAGGGUGGUCACGGCUCCUCAGCGUGCGCAGCAUGCUGGCCCAACCCUCCCAGCUUGGUCGGGAACGGCUGCCGCCGGACUGGGGCACAAAGACCUGGUUGGGUUAGUCAAGAUUCUUUGUCCUGGCCUGGGAGAACAGUUCAGGGGACAGAGGGCUGCAAGACUACCAAGAACCCAGAUCCAGGGAUCACUGACAUUUGGGGAUGUGGCUGUGGCCUUUACCCAGAUUGAAGGGAGAUACCCGAUGCUGCUCAGCGGGCCCUGUACAGGGAUGUGAUUUACUGGAGAACUAUGGGAAUCUCGUGUUUGUGGGGCUUCUCUCUUCCAAACCCAAGCUAAUAACCCAGUUGGAUGGAAGAGCCAUGGAUGGAAGUAUAAGAGGUUCCAUCAGGUACCUAUGCAGCAUAGAUAUUGAAUUUUAUCAAAUGCCUUUUCAACAUAUAUGGAGAUGACAUCUGUCUUUUCCCUUUUGGUUGUUAAUAUGGUUUAUUUACUUUUUCUAACCUUUUAUAGUUGAUUCAUUAAUCAAUUAAUUCAUUGAUUUUUUUCUUAUUUAUGUGAUAUAAAUAUUUAAAACUGUAAACUUCUGUUUGUGCAGUGUUUUGGUUGUAUUGUAGUUUUUAUUGUCAUUAUUUUUUAGAUAUUUUGCAAUUUGCAUUUUGAUUUCUCUGAUCAAAGUAUUGAGAGUCAUAAGCUAACCUUCCUUUUUCUUUCUUAAAACCUUUUUAAAAUUUAACACAUAUAUAGAAGAGUCGAUUUUAUGUAUAUAUGGUCUAAAUAGGUAUUUUUGAAAUGAAUAUUCAUGUAACCAGCACUCAGCUUAAGAAAGGGAACACUGGCAGUACUCUACUAAAUCAUACCUCAUCCCUUCCAAUCAUUAGCCACACUCUCCUCCUCCCCCUGAACUAACACUGUAAUUUAUUUUGGGCUGUUUUUUUAACUUUAUAUGAAUGGAACUAUAUAUUUUUUUGAUGUGGCUUUUUAUGCGUAACAUUUUGUGAGAUUCAUUCAUUUUCAUGCAUUUUCCUUCCUGUGGAUCAUUAGAAUGCACGUUUAAACAUAAUUGCUAGGCCCCACCCUCAGCACUUUUUAUUCAUUAGGUCUGAAAUGUGGACUGAAAAUCUCUACAAGUUCUUAGGUGAUGCUGAUGCUGUUGUUACUGAUCUGGAGACCAGGCUCUUAAAACUACUGCAAUAGAGUAUUUCAUUAUCUCAUAUUUUGGAUGGAUAUUUGGGAUGUUUCUAGCUUUUGAGAAUUAAAAAUGGUAUGAACAUUUCAAAUAUGUUAUUGCUUGGUUCAUAUGUGGAUGCAUAUCUUUUGGGGUGGGAUUUCUAGCUUAUAGGAUAUGCAUAUAUUCAACUUUAGUACAUAAUGCCAAGUAGUUUUUCAAAGUUUUGUACCUAUUUAUAUUUGCAUCAUCAGUGUGUGAGGAGUACUCAUUGUUCCGUAUCCUUGUCAGCACUUAAUAUUGUCAGUCCGUUGAAGUUAAUUGUUCUUUGGGUGUAUCAUGUAUCUCAUAG